UCUUUUCCUAAAAAAAGAUAAUUUGCCAUAUAUCUGUAUAGUUAAUUUUCUGUAUAAAUAUAGUAUAGAACAAAAAGUCGAAUGAACUUUUCCAUCGAAGAUAUCUUUGUGCGCGCGAGAGAGUCGAUGUGCGUUUCGUCUCCCUGCCAGCUGGUAGGUUCUUUGUUCGCGCGCUCGUUGAGCAACAAGCGAGCAAGGAAGCGGAGCGCGAGCACGGGAAACCUGUCAAUGCCAUCGGGUUGACGCACGUAAGCGUGGUGGGUCCUCAUGCGGCGCGGCAUUCAGCAGCGUCGCCCCGCGCCCCUCGCUUCGCUCCCCCUCGCGUAUGUAGUAAUCGCGGGCGAGUUUAACGCAGCCGAUCCCGUCCUGGUAUUACACCGGCGCCGCCGGUCUCCAAAGAGCCGAAAGAAAGGGAAAGUCCGCCGUAGACCGGCCGCGAACUUUAGCGCUCUCAGUCCACGGAAAGCGAGCGUGCGUCCGCUCGCGUCGCGCGCGUGCCAUCUCGUAGUCCGUGCUGGCGAGUGAGAGAAGCAUUUAGACUCGUAGAAAGAAAAAAAGAACGGAGUUUCGAAAAAAACCAAGUGCGUGCGUGCGUGCGUGCGUGCGUGCGUGCGUGCGCGUAUGCCGGUCUCGCGAGCUUCGAAAUCGCAUUGGCGCGUGUCCGCCCUCAUCGCUGACGCUCCUCGUCCCGGAUGCACGUCUCGCGAGAGGAUAAGGGCGCAGGGAUUCGCGCGCGGUCUCGCCUGAUGCGAUGCGGUCUGCCGCGACGCGGAGCUUGGAGGCUGUCGGGAUAGCGGAAGUGCACCCCUCGGAAUGUACCGACGAUGAAAGACCGAGCAUGAUCGGGGAGUGCUUCACCUUCGUGAAACCGGAUAGCUCACGGAACACUCACGAGUGCCUCGCUCCCACUCGUGUUUUUAUUCUCGUGUGCCCGACCUCUUGACCGGCGGAGGAUCAUAAUGCUAGAGCCAGUUCUGGGAACGUUGUCGAUCUGGUGGCUGGUGAUGAAGCUGCUGAUCUUGUGCGUGUUAACUACCGUUGCGUUUGCCGCGCCGGGUCUCCUCAAGGUGCCAAGGGUGUACAACGCCGUGAUAACGAGCAAUCAGAAUCUGUCGCCGUCGCGAGCGUUCCCCGUGAUACAACCGGUCCUCCAUCGAACCGCCAUCGGUUACGUGCCGCCGUUCUAUUACACGCAGGUAGCGCCUCACUUUGUCGGGCCGGAAGUGGUGCAUUAUCCGCUGCUCGCCGCGGAUGGUAAGGCGGCCGGCAGCAACCAAGCGCAGGCCUCCUCCUCGACGUCGCGUCUGCCCGAGUCGACGAGCUUUGGUGUCGCGAAGGAGGACGAGGACGCAACCACCGCCGAUCGUACGAAGGAGAACGGCGAUACGAAGAACUCCGAGAAGAAAAAGGACCCGGUGCCAUUGACCUUCUAUCCGAAUUACCAUUCUCUCUACUACCAUCCGUACAUUUACACGUAUAACGGCUUCAAUCCGCAUCUCGCGCCCGGCACUUACUACGUCGAUUACCAACCGUACGAGUCCCUGGAACCAAUCCCGGCUACCACGCCGAGGAACGCCGACUCCGGCCAUCUGUUACCGAGCUUCCACGACGAGAAGGAAAUCCACACGACGGACGACAGAGAAAAAAUACCGGAUGUACCACCGCCACCUCUUCCGACCUCCGGACCGAAAAGAUCUUGAGCUCUUACAAGGUGGAAGUGUUUUGAAUUGAAUUUCGUGAUAAGUAGACGAGGAGGGAAGCUUCAUGAAUCUCUUUUGUAAAGGUUGCAAGCGCGGAUAGGUGAAGGCCUUCAUUACAAACAUUGAAGAAUAAUCAAUGGCUCGCUGAAGCGUUUGGCACAGCUGUGCAAUCAAUUGGCAUUUAGUACAUUAGUCACGCCAUUAUAUUGAACUUUGACUGCAACUGCUUGAGUACCGUAUAUAAUUCCCAAUAUACGUGACGAUGCAGAUGUUCGAUAAAGUUGAAGAGUUCUAUCUAUUGAUGCUAUAUUCUAAUAUUAAACCAGAAGAGCAGGGUUCUGAUUAUUUUUGUAAUUUGUGUCUUUUAUAGAGAGAAUUUUGAAUUCUUUGUGAUGCAUUUUACGUAUACGUUAGUUUGUUUUGUACCUCGAGAUUAAUUGCUUAAUAUUAAGUUAAACUAAACGAACGAUACCACAAUAUAUUUAUAAAAACAUUACUUCUUUAUAUUAAAGAUUUUCUAUACGUA
rnacentral:misc_RNA from 1 species